rnacentral:lncRNA from 1 species
GGAAGUCGGCCGAGGGCUUGUUUUAGAAUUUUACCUACUACAGCAGCAUUAUGGGUUUGCUUUUGCUUUUAUACAUCAUAGUGUAUUUACCAUAUUUGAUAAUAUUAGUUGGUGAAAAUAGACAUAGUGAAGAAUUUUAAAUCCAUCAAUAUUCAUGAAACCAGUUGCUUGGGACGAUUUAUGUAUUUAGUAUGUUGCUAUUUUGUGAACACAAAACAGUAUUAUGGGGACAGAGAGGUGGCUCAGUACUUGGUGCUGUUCUUCCAGAGUACCUGAAUCGAUUCCCAGAACAAUAUGGUAGUUCACAGCUCUGUAAUUUCAGUUCCAGGGUGUCCUUAGCCACUUGCCUCUGUCCUCCUAGGAUAAUGUACUCACCUGCACGUCCCCCCACAGACACACACACCCUUGCACAUAGUUAAAGAUAAUAAAAGUAAAAAAAAGAAAUAAAGGAGAUUUGAAAAACUAGUACUAAAUAUAUUUAAUGAUUAUACAAUAUCCCAUAAAAUACAAGUCCUGAAUUUAUUUUAUAUUUUUUAUUUUAGUGAAUAACUUUAUGAUAAUUUUUCUUUUUACUCUUAAAACAGACAAUUGCUGACCAAAUGGUAUAGAAAUCCCCAAAUUACUUGCCAAUUCAAUUAAAAUAUUGUGACUAACACUGUGCAAAAUGCUGCUUCUUUUUUGGCCUCAGUUUCUUUGUUGCAGCGGGGCGGCAUUUUUCUUUCAGUUCUAUGACAGGUUGAGCACUUUCCACAUAGUGCAUUUUUCUCCUUUGUCUUUCUUCAAAAGAUUGGAGGGACCAAGGGGACUAGAUAUGAUCAAAAACCAUUACAUUCAUGUAUUUUAUUCUCAGAGAAUAAGAGUUUUAAAGUCUGUUAAUACUUGUUAGUGUUUUGAUACAGCCAGAGAUGCUGCGGAGCGGUUGAGGCUGUGCUGGGGAGUGACUGUAGAAGUGGCUUUCUUGUCUGUUUUAGAACCUGGUGCAUUGCAUUACUGCUGAAUGAUGUUGCAGUUAGCCAGGCAUCAUUACCAACUGCUUUAUCUGCAUAGGUGGUCACCAAAAUUGGUAAUUGAAAGACUCUUCUUCUGCUUUAGUGGGAGGAUGGUAGAGUCAUUUUCAGGGGGUUAGACGGCAGUUAAAGCAGACAGGACAAAACACUGUUUUCCUAUUUUUGCAGGUUUUUCCAAAUCAAAUUCUGUUUUACUAGAAUGGGCCAAUUGCCCCUAUGGUUUAACUGGAUCAGACUGUAGAGCAGCAAGUGCUUGCUGUAGCAAGCUAUGUGUUUGUAAAGACUGUGCUGGCUUUUUACUGGAAGAAAAUCCCUUUGGAUUAGAUUAAGCUUUGGUAGGUUUUGGCCUCAAUUCCUGUUACGUGAAUUCUUAUCAAGCAAAGCAUGGUCCCCAACCCCAUCCUUACUCAACAGAACUUUUCAUGAAUUGAUUCUCAGUGAACGUGACAUGCGUUACAGGUGCCUUGCAGCUCGUUGAAGUUGUUCACCUUCAGCACUCAGUGUCACUUUCCCUUCCAGUUGUCUUCUCUACAGUUGAUGAACAUGGCAUGUGCUUUUUAUAUCUCUCCUAAGUGUUGAGGCCGGGAUGAAGCCAUGUGACAGCUCCCUGUUCCUGUUACACAUCCUCAUGCAGCAACCGACACUUUCGGUUCAGUAUUUAGUCAGCUCUCAGCUGUGUUUUCAUGUAGAACUCAGGUCAAAACCUCAUCAGAAGGCACUUCCCAUACACUCAGGCAUGUGCCUUGCCCUGACUGAGCUUCUCAGGGCCUUCUGCACUUGUCAGGCGGGCUGUGUGGAAGCCCUCACACCUUUCUCACUGCACAGCAGGGGUGACGACAGAUUGCUCCUCAGAGGCCUCAGUUCUGUGUUGCUGUUUCUUACACUGAAGACCUUAGGCUUGCAGUCACAUUAGUAGUUGCUUGCUUGCGCUAAUCUUCUAUUUUUAUUCAUUUCAAAGUUUAAUUUUAUUUAUUGUUAAUGUGCUCAUGCUUGUACGUGGUGUGGUGUGAUGUGAGAACAAGCACGUGUGUGCCGUGGCAUGCACGUGGAGGUCAGGGGGCAGCUUAGGAGGUGGUUCUCUCCUUGCACCAUGGCAUCUGGGACUGAACUCAGGUGGGCAGGCUCGUGCGGAGCCAUGGUCCAUCUUAUACCCUUAAUAAUUUGAAAAUGAGAAUAUGAGCUUUAUAGAAAGCAGUUUGUUUUAUCUAGAAACUAUCCUUGGAGGGAUAUACUGUUUUCUUAUUGCCAUUUGAAGUGAUCCCUCUCUGCCUAGCCACUAACAUAUAAUUAGGAUCAUUUGUUUUAUUUCAUUUCUCUAUUUUUAGAGAGUGCUGCUUUUUCCCACUUUAAUUUAUUUUUACUGUGAUUUAACUCAUUUAUGUGGCCUGCAGAUCUCAAAAUAGGAACAAUCUGUCUUUUAUUCUUUUUUCUCUCUUCCCUGUUGGUAAACAUUUAAAUUAGUUUUUUCCCGCUCUUCUCUUUUUUAAGCAAAACGCACAUGUAUAUCCAUAUUUGCUGUUUCUAAGGAAGCACGGUGAAGACUCCGUCACAGCAGUAGACGGUAGUCUUUCUGAUUGCUUUAUAGCCAUGAUCAGUCUCUUGCAUGGACACAGCAUUACUGUGCUCAUCUGGUCCCCUGCUAAUAGAAAUCUACACGGCUUCUGAUUCUUAGUUACUAGAAAUAGCCUUGGAAGAGAAUAGCCCUUUAUGCAGGUGACAGUUUGUACUCUUGCCAAUGUAAGAUGAAAAUGGCAAAAAGAAAAGCAGUCCUGUCUUGGUAGAAUGUGAUAGGACAGAGAUGAGUGUCUUCAGCUUCCAAGCCUCAGCCAUAAGUGUGUCAUGCAGACGUGUGAGUUUUAUCACAUAAAUUGUAUAUAUUAAGUCAGUACUGUAAUGUUUACCCUAUUCAUUUUAAUUACAAUUAAGAUGGAAAGAUAUAUAGAUUUAAAAAUAAUAUACCCUCUUAUAUUUCUGGAGUGAAGUCAAUUUAGUUAUGAUGUAUUUUUAUUGAUAAAAUGAGUUCGUUUUGCUGUUUUGCAACUGGCCUAUAAUUUUCUAUUUUACUGUUGUCUGAAUUUUCACCAUUUAAUUUUUAUUUAUCUUUUAAUGGAUGCCUAGUUUACAUAUAGUAAGUAACUUCUCCAUAUGUAAUAAUUAUACAUACACACACAUAUAUAAUGUAUAUACAUAUAAAAUCAUAUCACAUAAUUGCACACACAUAUAUAAUUUUACUUGUUUUCUCCAAAUAUGAACAAGAUCAAGAUUCAAAAAUAGGAUGUUAUGUAAAAUUCAGGAAACUCUUGAAUGUUUCUCAGUCAACCUUUUCUACCAGGUGUAUCUAUCACUCCCAUACAAGAAAUCCUGCACCAUGGAUGUGCCGUUUGUAUUUGCCUUCUUUUGCAUAUUUAAUAGAAUCCCACAUGAUCCUUUCUGCUUCUGUGAUGGUUAUUUUCAUCUAGGACUACUUCAUAUUCUUGCUCAUUGUUAGAUCUUAUCUUUAGUGAUGUCCUCAUUGAAGUCUGAUCUUUUUCUGUUAUAUAUUUUUUGUUUGUAUGUACAUAUUGUUAGGGUUCAGCCAAUUUUUUAUUAAACUAAUAAAAUUUAUUUUAAAAUAUACAACUCAGUAUUGACAUUUUUAAGUCAUCAGAGUAAUUUAUAAUAGUUAAAUGCCUCUUAAAUAUACAUGAUAUCUUCUGAAGCUAAAAGUAAUAUACACUCAACCAGUUUUUAAAAUUUAUUUGAACAUUAAACAUGAUAGAAGUAGAAAAAAAAUCUCUUAUGAAAUCCUCUAUGAAAGGAAAUUGUGACAGGUUCCUGAUUAGACAGAAACCAUUCCUCCUCCAAGGGAGAACAGGCAGUGAACCUGGCUUCAUAGAAUGAGUUGGGUAGUGUUCCUUCUGUUUCUAUUUUGUGGAAUAGUUUGAAGAGUAUUGCUGUUAGGUCUUCUUUGAAGGUCUGAUAGAAUUCUGCACUAAAACCAUCUGGUCCUGGGCUUUUUUUGGUUGGGAGACUUUUCAUGACUGCUUCUAUUUCUUUAGGGGUUAUGGGAUUGUUUAGAUGGUUUAUCUGAUCCUGAUUUAACUUUGGUAUUUGGUAUCUGUCUACAAAAAUUGUCCAUUUCAUCCAGAUUUUCCAGUUUUGUUGAGUAUAGGCUUUUGUAGUAGGAUCUGAUGAUUUUUUGAAUUUCCUGUUUCCAUUGUUAUAUCUCCCUUUUCAUUUCUGAUUUUGUUAAUGUGGAAAUUCAGUCUCUGCCCUCUGGUUAGUCUGGCUAAGGGUUUAUCUAUCUUGUUGAUUUUUCUCAAAGAACCAGUUCCUGGUUUUGUUGAUACUUUGUAUACUUCUUUUUGUUUCUGUUUGGUUGGUUUCAACCCUAAGUUUGUUUAUUUCCUGCUGUCUACUCCUCUUGGGUGUGUUUGCUUCUUUUUGUUCUAGAGCUCUCAGAUGUGCUGUCAGGCUGCUAGUGUAUGCUCUUUUUGGAGACACUCAGAGCUCUGAGUUUUCCUCUUAGCACUGCUUUCAUUGUGUCCCAUAAGUUUUGAUAUGUUGUGCCUUCAUUUUCAUUAAAUUUUAAAAGUCUUUAAAGGGACAGGGCACAGGCAGGGAGGGGGAUUGCCGCUGCCCCCUGUGCUGCUGCUGCUCCAAGACUGCACUGGCUGCACUGACCUGAGUAGGGCUUAGCCAGUGGAAGGCUGAGAGCCAGCAAGGGCAGUGCGGGGGAGCUUCUGGUGGUGGAAGUUUUGGGGGAGCAGUUCUCUUCCCUGCCAGUGUUGCAGCUCUUAUGACAGACGCUCUCAGAUGAAGCAGUACUUCUUACACCUUUGUUCCUUCUGGGUAGGGUCUUAUAUACAGUUUUGGGGUGGGUUGGGGUCUGAAAGUAGGUGCUUCCUAUUGGCUUGGUCUGAGAGGUUAGAGAUGCCUCAUCUACAUGUGGGAGGGCUUGGGGUGCUACCUCUAUGUGACUAAUGGCCACAAAUCUCUCCAUGGGGGGCUGUGGGUACAUGUCAGGGGCUGGGUGCUAGGAGGAGGCAAAGCUCCUCAGGGUCCCUGAGGCUUCUAGCCUUAGCUCCAUCUUACCAGGCUUUCUCUCACAGCCCACUACCCCACAUCCAAUUAUUAUCUCACCAGUUCUUAUCCGUCAUCACCUAUUCCCAUGCUAAAAUAUCUUUAAAUAUCAACAUAAAACC